rnacentral:rRNA from 1 species
GACAGAGGGUGCAACGUUGUUCGGAAUUACUGGGCGUAAAGCGCGUGUAGGCGGUUAUGCAAGUCGGGUGUGAAAGCCCCGGGCUCAACCCGGGAAUAGCGCUUGAUACUGUUGCGCUUGAAUCCAGGGGAGGAUGGCGGAAUUCCCAGUGUAGAGGUGAAAUUCGUAGAUAUUGGGAAGAACACCAGUGGCGAAGGCGGCCAUCUGGCCUGGAAUUGACGCUGAGGCGCGAAAGCGUGGGGAGCAAACAGG